rnacentral:rRNA from 1 species
AUGGAACUCCUGGACGAGGAAUUGGACCCAGUAGUGAUCGGGAAGGCCGAAGCGAAGAAACUCGAAUCUGAGGCAGGAUGGUUGGCGAUUGCUAGGGUUAACACGGACAGGCCGUUCAGCUCUACAGCAUUCUUUGAAAACAUGAAGUUCAUCUGGGGUUUGGCCAAGACACCAAAGUACCGGGAGGCUGGGGAGAACUUGUUUAUUUUCCAAUUGUUCUGUCUCGGAGAUUGGAGGAAGGUCGUGCAUGGAGAUCCCUGGCUGUUUAGGGGGCUUGGGGUGAUCAUAGAAGAUUAUGAUGGCAAGACUGGUCCUGAAAAGGUGGAACUAGAUGGUCUGUAUGUGUGGGCUCAAAUCCAUAAGGCUCCUGAAGUCUACCGACAGGAACGGGUAGUUGAUCAGCUUGCCCGCAAGAUUGGCAGAGUCAAAGAGGUUCAACUCCGUACCAAUCUCUACUAUGAGGGAGAC